rnacentral:lncRNA from 1 species
CAACCAGUCACUGAAAAACAGAAAACAGAAUGGACAGGGUUUCAUGGUUUAUUGUCAAGCUGCAAAGUAUUUUCUUCUUCUUUAAAACCUGUUGGGGCUAGGGGGCAGUAUUUGCACGGCCGGAUAAAAAACGUACCCGAUUUAAUGUGGUUACUACUCCUGCCCAGUAACUAGAAUAUGCAUAUAAUUAGUAGAUUUGGAUAGAAAACACUCUAAAGUUUCUGAAACUGUUUGAAUGGUGUCUGUGAGUAUAACAAAACUCAUAUGGCAGGUCAAAACCUGAGAAGAUUCCAUGCAGGAAGUGGAAAUCUGAUUUGUGGAAUCACCUUUAACACUUUGCCUAUGAAACACACCGUGAGUUAGGAUUCAUUGAGCACUUCCUAAGGCUUCCACUAGAUGUCAACAGUCUUUACAAAGUAGUUUGAGUCUUCUCCGGUAAAAACUGACCGAAUGAGACGCCUGGAAAGUUGGUCAUAGGGGGAUGGCCAUGUCUACUAUGACGCGGGCGCCCGUGGGUACCCUUUCGUUACGAAACGUUUAGUAAGACAAUGCGUCAGCCUUGAAUAUUAUUGAAGCUCUGAUUGAAAAAGGCCCUAAAGAUUUACGUUAUACAACGUUUGACAUGUUUGAACGAACGUAAAUAUAUAUUUUUUGCACAUUCGUGAUGACAAGCCUCGUACAUUAUGAGUAGCCUUUGGAACGUGCUAACAAGAAGGAGCUAUUGGGACAUAAAUUAUAAACUUUUUCGAGCAGAACUACAUUUGUUGUGGACCUGGGAUUCCUGGAAGUGCCUUCUGAUGAAGAUAAUCAAAGGUAAGGGAAUAUUUACAAUAGUAUAUUUGAUUUUAGAUGGUUCCAAGAUGGCGCUAACCUGUAUCGCCUAGCUUAUUUUUCUGAGCAUAGCACCUCGUUUAUUGCAAAGUGUGAUUUCCCAGUAAAGUUAUUUUUAUAUCUGCCAAUGUGGUUGCAUUCACGAGAUGUUAAUCUACAAUUCUUUGAAUGACAUUUUAACAAUGUUUUCGAAUAGUAAUUUGUAAAUUGUAGCGCUGAUUCACCAGAAGCAUUUGAGGGAAAAUAUUUUCUGAACGUCACGCGUCGAUGUAAAAUUCAGUUUUUAUAUAUAAAUAUGAACUUUAUCGAACAAAAAAUGCAUGUAUUUUGCUUAGAAAAUGGCAGUGUGAUUAUUUUUGGCAGGGUACUCUCCUAACAUAAUCUAAUGUUUUGCUUUUGCUGUAAAGCCUUUUUGAAAUCGGACAACGUGGUUCGAUUCAGGAGAGGUGUAUCUAUAAAAUGGUGUAAAAUAGUCAUAUGUUUGAGAAAUUGAAGUUAUAGCAUUUAUGAGGUAUUUGUAUUUCGCGCGACGCGAUUCCACGGGCUGUUGACUAGGGUGGGACGCAAGCGUCCCACGUUGCCCAGAAAGGUUAAAUCUCACAGAAAUAACAGUAAACACUCAGCGGACUAGAGUGUCUGAUGCAAGACCCUCACUAACACUGUCUCUGAUGUCAUCAUUAGGCGCACACAGCACAGCCCGCCAAACAGGGAGCAUCAUUUAACCCCAACCCAGUCAAGUGCCUCCCCCCUCCCCCCAGCUGAUCAGUAUUCUCUCUGAUUUAGUUUUUAUUAUUCCCUUAUUUUACCCUCAUGACAACCAGAGGAAAACAUAUUAUAUUUAACAUAAAUCCGUGCCACUCCAUUUAGUAGAAUAUUUGACUCUACGUUAGCUUAUAUUACAAUGGCCUAUCAUCGUACAAUAUAAUUUGAAUUGUAGGACGUAUAGUAUUCUACGUUUUUAUUGUUUAGUAUGAUAUAUUACAUUCAACUGCUUUAGUAUUAUAUGCUACGUUAGGUUAAGGGUUAGGGCUAGGUUUAGGGGAAGGGUUAGGUUUAGGGGAAGGAUUAGCUAACAUGCUAAGUAGUUGCAAAGUAGCUAAAAAGUAGUAAGUACAGUGGGGGAAAAAAGUAUUUGAACCCCUGCUGAUUUUGUACGUUUGCCCACUGAUAAAGAAAGGAUCAGUCUAUAAUUUUAAUGGUAGGUUUAUUUGAACAGUGAGAGCCAGAAUAACAACAAAACAAUCCAGAAAAACGCAUGUCAAAAAUGUAUAAAUUGAUUUGCAUUUUAACUUCUCUAGGGCCAGUGGGACGAUUUCGUCCCACCUACGUAACAGCCAGUGGAAUCCCGUGGCGCAUUAUUCAAAUACCUUAGAAAUGCUAUUACUUCAAUUUCUCAAACAUAUUACUAUUUAACACCAUUUUAAAGACAAGACUCUCGUUAACCUGUUAGGGCUAGGGGGCAGUAUUUGCACGGCUGGAUAAAAAAAAUGUACCCGAUUUAACCUCUAUGGGCUAGGUGGG